GAUGAACGCGGGCGGCGUGCCUAACACAUGCAAGUCGAGCGAGGGUUUGCUCAGUAUUGAGUAUUCUAAAACUAGAAUGUUCAAUUGUGAGCAAAACCAAGCGGCGGACGGGUGAGUAACGCGUGGGUAACCUGCCCUAUACACAUGGAUAACAUACUGAAAAGUUUACUAAUACAUGAUAAUAUAUAUUUGCGGCAUCGCAGAUAUAUCAAAGUGUUAGCGGUAUAGGAUGGACCCGCGUCUGAUUAGCUAGUUGGUGAGAUAACUGCCCACCAAGGCGACGAUCAGUAGCCGACCUGAGAGGGUGAUCGGCCACAUUGGAACUGAGACACGGUCCAAACUCCUACGGGAGGCAGCAGUGGGGAAUAUUGCACAAUGGGCGAAAGCCUGAUGCAGCAACGCCGCGUGAACGAUGAAGGUCUUCGGAUCGUAAAGUUCUGUUGCAGGGGAAGAUAAUGACGGUACCCUGUGAGGAAGCCCCGGCUAACUACGUGCCAGCAGCCGCGGUAAUACGUAGGGGGCUAGCGUUAUCCGGAUUUACUGGGCGUAAAGGGUGCGUAGGUGGUCCUUCAAGUCGGUGGUUAAAGGCUACGGCUCAACCGUAGUAAGCCGCCGAAACUGGAGGACUUGAGUGCAGGAGAGGAAAGUGGAAUUCCCAGUGUAGCGGUGAAAUGCGUAGAUAUUGGGAGGAACACCAGUAGCGAAGGCGGCUUUCUGGUCUGUAACUGACGCUGAGGCUCGAAAGCGUGGGGAGCGAACAGG
rnacentral:rRNA from 1 species